CAGUAAUUAAGGACAGGGUGGACAUAAGUUUGAGAAGCGUGACCUAUUUUCUUUUGAUCAGCUGUCAAAAGAAGAGCAGGGGGUCUCCUUAAGACAGCCCCCUUCAACCACUUCCAGCUGUUAGAGAAAACUUGAUAAGAAAACAAGGGCAGAGCUCGGAAUACUGUAUGUCCCUUCUUGGUGCCAGAGAAAGGUUUGAUUCAUUUGGAAAACAGUUCUUAGUCUCAGUGACCUUUUCUGCCGCCCUCCUCUCUCUUCUUGCUUCAGAGCAACACCCCCACCCCCACCCUGUCACAUGAAUGUACAGUGACGUUAUUCAUAGAUCAACUUCAUUGAGCUCUGGCCAAUACGCUGCCAAUUAUUCUUUCAAAUAGCGUCUUCUCUGUGUUAUCAAAGCCUGAGUAAGAAAGCGGCAGAUCCUCUGGUUUGCCAGACAUACUUUUCUGGUUGCUCACAUCUCUAGUGUCACAACAGGAGCCAGUUGCCACAGACCUCCACGUUGAAGCUCAUGUAAUUGGAACAUGCCCAGAUGAACCAUGUAUGAAACCAUGGGCAGAACCUAAGUGCUAAGAUGGAGGCGCAAGAACUGAAUUAAGAAGGAGACACUGAAUGACAGGAUUCAGGAUCCAAUCAUAUGGAGCCCUGGUAUCAUCUCAUUAUAAGAUCCAAUCAGAUCACAUCUCAUUAUGCUAUGCUUGUAAUACCAGUCCCAGCUCCCAGCUCAGGGAGACAGAUUUGAGCAUUUCCUCCUGUCCGCUGCCAGUUGACUUGCAAUAAAGCUUUUCUUUGCUCAAAAGCUGAUGCCAUGGUAUUGGCUUCACGUCAGGCAGCUGUCAGCUCAUUGGUUGCUCAGUAACGAGUACAUCCUUUCGAACUCAAGGCCCAGCAAGCCUGGUGCUUUAACCAUGUUUCUGUUUUUUUCUGUUCCUGGUCCGUGGGGAUGUUUUGUGUCUUUUAAAUUUUUUAAAUUAGAUUUCACUUUUUCUGUCAUCGUUGUGUUUGAAUAGAGGUGGGGUGGAGAGAAUGCACACCAUAAAUUUACAGCACCAUUUUAGCUGACAGUCCUUCUACAUGACUCAUAAAGUCAGGAAAAAAAAAUCAAUGAAAUCAAUGCUAUACCACCUCUACCUCUCAACUCUGUACUCUUUGCCCCCUUUUUAGUGCACACCAUUCCCCUCUUACCUGACUCCUGUGUCUCUCCACUGAUCUCUGUCACCAACUGGGAAGAAAUUGGGUGGCCUUAUUUGCUUAUACUAAAAAGUCAGGGAGUGUAGCAGACAGAAUAAUGCCUUUCCCGAAUGUCCAUGUCUUAAUUCCUAGAACUUGUGAACACACUACCUUAUAGGUAGAAGGGACUUCACAGGUAUGAUUUAUUGAAGGAUUUUGAGUUGGGAAAAUUAUCCUGGAUUAUCUGGGUGGGCCUGAUGUAAUCACAUGAUCCUCAUAAGAAG
rnacentral:lncRNA from 1 species